UACGAAGGGGGCUAGCGUUGUUCGGAAUUACUGGGCGUAAAGCGCGCGCAGGCGGCUAUCCAAGUCAGUGGUGAAAGCCCGGAGCUCAACUCCGGAACUGCCAUUGAAACUGUUUAGCUUGAGGAUGAGAGAGGUGAGUGGAAUUCCCAGUGUAGAGGUGAAAUUCGUAGAUAUUGGGAAGAACACCGGUGGCGAAGGCGGCUCACUGGCUCAUUACUGACACUCAGGCGCGAUAGCGUGGGGGAUCAAACAGG
rnacentral:rRNA from 1 species